rnacentral:rRNA from 1 species
UAGAGUUUGAUCAUGGCUCAGAACGAACGCUGGCGGCAGGCUUAACACAUGCAAGUCGAACGCCCCGCAAGGGGAGUGGCAGACGGGUGAGUAACGCGUGGGAAUCUACCCAACUCUACGGAAUAACUCAGGGAAACUUGUGCUAAUACCGUAUACGCCCUUCGGGGGAAAGAUUUAUCGGAGUUGGAUGAGCCCGCGUUGGAUUAGCUAGUUGGUGGGGUAAAGGCCUACCAAGGCGACGAUCCAUAGCUGGUCUGAGAGGAUGAUCAGCCACAUUGGGACUGAGACACGGCCCAAACUCCUACGGGAGGCAGCAGUGGGGAAUAUUGGACAAUGGGCGCAAGCCUGAUCCAGCCAUGCCGCGUGAGUGAUGAAGGCCCUAGGGUUGUAAAGCUCUUUCACCGGUGAAGAUAAUGACGGUAACCGGAGAAGAAGCCCCGGCUAACUUCGUGCCAGCAGCCGCGGUAAUACGAAGGGGGCUAGCGUUGUUCGGAAUUACUGGGCGUAAAGCGCACGUAGGCGGGUAUUUAAGUCAGGGGUGAAAUCCCGGAGCUCAACUCCGGAACUGCCUUUGAUACUGGGUACCUAGAGUAUGGAAGAGGUAAGUGGAAUUCCGAGUGUAGAGGUGAAAUUCGUAGAUAUUCGGAGGAACACCAGUGGCGAAGGCGGCUUACU